AAGAUUAAGCCAUGCAUGUCUAAGUAUAAGCAAUUUAUACAGUGAAACUGCGAAUGGCUCAUUAAAUCAGUUAUCGUUUAUUUGAUAGUUCCUUUACUACAUGGUAUAACUGUGGUAAUUCUAGAGCUAAUACAUGCUUAAAAUCUCGACCCUUUGGUAAGAGAUGUAUUUAUUAGAUAAAAAUAACAAUGUCUUCGGACUCUUUGUAUGAUUCAUAAUAACUUUUCGUAAUACGCAU
rnacentral:rRNA from 1 species